rnacentral:lncRNA from 1 species
GGCAAAAAAGUCUCAAAUACAACUAAGGAGCUUCAUAUUUAUAGCUCAAAUACAAUGAUAGCCGAAUGGAUAUUUAAGCACAUCCUAGACAAUUCGGUUUAGCUUUAAUGAGUUGAAAGUUAAAGGAAAAUUCCAGGUAACUUCCUUGUGCUUUGUAGACGUCAACAACCAGCUUCUAGAGGCCUUGGAAUCAGCUGAGAUUAAUGGAGGUGCCUUGGCAGCUGAUUGGAACUUGGUAGGUUCGGCCAAUACUUUGAUGAGCUAUUAAAAGAUUGCUUUGAUUAGCUGAAUAGUCUUGUAAGCUUUAAUGGUAGCUUGUGGCCUUGGAAAGUCACCAAUGUGAACAACCAAUAUUGAACAGCCCUUUAGGUGUGAAAGCUCAAAGCUGAAUGGUCUCAAGGUGUGAAAAGAACCUUCAGCUGAAUUAAAAAAAUGUGGAAGGUUUGGUGAUCCUUGCAAUGCAAGAUGGGCUGUUUAAGAGAUAUCAACCAGCAACCUUUAUCUUAAAUGCAAGUCUUCUUUAAAUGUUGCUCAUACACUCCUUCGAUUGGGCGGCACAUUAAGGGUUGUUGAGUUGACCAAAAAAAUAGCACAUGGAGAAGAGGAAACAGCAGUUGGUUUAAUGACAUUCAUUGUCCAUUGAGCUCCACGAAAGAGGACCAUGGGAAGGAGUAAUCAACACUCCUUUAAUGUUGUCCCAUGCUUGAAAAGGGAGAAGUCAACAGCACCAUUAAUGUCGUCCAUGCAUGCCUUCUUAAUUGCUUGCUUUUGCAAUGAACGAGAGUUUGCUUAGGAAAAGCAAUCAGCAGCACACACACCUUUAAAUGCCGUCCAUGCAUGAUACCUACACCAAAUAAAUUCAACAUAUUAAAUCACUUAGGAAAAAUUAAAUUCUGCAGCAGCAAAGACAUGUUUAAAUUCUCUUUAAAUUUAGCUGGACUAGGACAUAUUAAAUCGACAUCAAGACACAUUAAUUGGAUGUAAUGAGCUGAACACAUUUACGCUAUGUAGUAACUAAGACAUAUUAAAGACAUGCAUUAAAAUAGAACAUAUUUCACACACAUAGGUAAAAUGUCCAAAUUUUAACAAAUUAAAUACUUAACAAUUAUUUAAGCUGAACUAACUAAUUUAACUAACUCAUUAAUUUAUUCCAGCAGCUAAAUGAAUGCAUAAACUAAAAAUAAUAUUAAUAGCAUCGAGCUCAAUGAGCUAAGAUUGAGCUGAAUUGAGCUCAAGGAACUGAAACACGAGCUGAUUCAAGCUCAAUAAACUAGCAUCGAGUUGAACAGCUAAAAAAUGAUUGCAACGCCUGCUUGGAAAACUUGACCAAGAUUGUUCGCAGGGCCUGAUUGUAUAUUCCCCUCUUCUUGAAAGUGACUUGUCCUCAAGUCAAGUCGUUGGUUUACUCGAAAGCGUUCGCGCGACUUGUCUUGGUUGAAAGGGGCGAAUGGCAAAUGAGUGACCUGAAAUUUAUAGCCAUGCGUUAACAAAAAGCAAUGCAAACAAAUUUGUAGUCCACGCAUAAUAAAAAAAAAGUGCAACACAUGUGAAUGGAUAGAUGCAAAAUACCACAUUUGCAAUCAUGCCAAAAAAUAUCUUACUUGUGAAUGUCUAUUCAAACGAUAUAGACAAAAACAGAUAUGUUGUAAGGCAUUCAAAAAUCCCAAUUGGUUUCCACCAAUCAUAGCCUAGAUGCGAGUAAUGAGUCAAAAGAUGUACGUAGGCAUCAAAAAUAGUCAAACGAAAAGAAUUAGAAGAUUCAUGGUCUUCCUUAGUUGGGCAUUGUAAUGACUAUUUAAUCGCAUGUUUUCCAACAAAAUCAUGAUGAUCAAAAACAAGAAUCUUUUUAUCAACCACCAAAACAGAUAGAUCAUCAUCAACCAAAUAGAACAAUUAAGCACGCCACGAUCUAACUGUUUUACAAAAGCUAAAUCAUCAACACGAUUUUUAACACCAUCUGAGGAGAAUAGAAAUGUUUCAAGACAUUCAAGUGUCUUACCUUUAUGAGCAGGAAAAUAAAGAUCGUUUUUACCUCGCUCGAUCAGCACAAACCAUCGCUCUUUGGGGGUAUAGAGAAGUCAAAACUUCGUGGUUGAGUUAACCUUUUCGGAAUGACACGCAAACUUCAUGUACAACCACAGAAAUGACGUAUGGAACAAAUUUAAAUUGAAAUCAAAUUUGUCAAUCCUCGUUUCCUUAUUUAAAAACCAAGUAUCAAACAAAUAGAAAUUAUUCGCACAAACUUUAAGAUGCUGGUUUCUCCCGCAAAACGAAUCAAAACAUAUUCUGGGUAUAAAAACAUGAGUUUGAUUAGUUAUGCCAAAGUGUAGCAAAGGGUUCAGUAAACCGACCAUGUCAAACCAGAAGGAUUUUUGCAUACACAGGAACAAACAAUCAAAACUCCUUACCACCAUUGAAACAGAUUUGCACAAAUUCAAAUAUUUCACAAAAAAACUUUAAUAGACAUUGACAAGUAAGAAGUCAACAGCACCAUUAAUGUCGUCCAUGCAUCCCUUCUUAAUUGCUUGCUUUUGCAAUGACCGAGAGUUUGCUUAGGAAAAGCAAUCAGCAGCACACACACCUUUAAAUGCCAUCCAUGCAUGAUACCUGCACCAAAUAAAUUCAAC